rnacentral:rRNA from 1 species
AAUAUUGCACAAUGGAGGAAACUCUGAUGCAGCGACGCCGCGGGAACGAUGAAGGCCUUCGGUUCGUAAAGUUCUGUCCUGGGGGACGAAAAUGACGGUACUCCAGGAGGAGGCCCCGGCUAACUACGUGCCAGCAGCCGCGGUAAUACGUAGGGGGCGAGCGUUGUCCGGAAUUAUUGGGCGUAAAGGGUUCGUAGGCGGUUUUUUAAGUCAGGUGUGAAAGGUCGCGGCUCAACCGUGGUAAGCAUUUGAAACUGAAAGACUUGGAUUAAGGAGAGGAAGGUGGGAUUCCUAGUGUAGCGGUGAAAUGCGUAGAUAUUAGGAGGAAUACCAGUGGCGGAGGCGACUUUCUGGACUUAUACUGACGCUGAGGAACGAAAGCGUGGGGAGCAAACAA